AUGCGCAAUGGUAAAGAGGCAAAGAGAUUGAGAAGAGAUGAUGUUCCUGAAAUGGGUUCAGAUGUGGAAUUUGUUUGUGAUGGAAAGGGUAAAGACCAUAACUAUAAUCCAGUUUGUGAAAAUGUGUCUCGAGCUUUGUGCACACAGUUAAAUGUGGAGUUUGAGAAAUCACAUGUACCAGUCUCUGCGCGUGUUGGUUUGUUAGGUGUACCGUGCAAAAAUGAGAGCAUAGUGGCUGACGGUAACUGUUUCUUUCGUGCCAUCUCUCAAUCUGUGAGUGGAAAACAAACUGAUCAUAGAAAAAUAAGACUAGCUGUUGUCAAGCAUCUAGAAAAUAAUGCUGUCAAGUAUGAAAACAUUUUGAGAAGUGAGUAUUGUUCAAUGGCAGAUUACAUUAGCAAAUCAAAAAUGCGUUAUGUGCACAGCUGGGCUACAGAGAUGGAAAUACAAGCCACUGCUGAUUAUUUAGGAAUCAAUGUUUUCACAUUUCAUGAUGGUCGUUGGCUUAAAUACAGUUGCAACAGUGAGCUAUUGUCACAACACGGCAUUUAUUUAGAAAAUCGCUGUGGAAAUCACUAUGAGACUGUGGUUUGUGUUCAUGAGCCAGAACUGCAGAGUUGUUAUGGCAAUUGUGAAAUUGGUACACAUAAAGUCAAAGGGUACAGUACUAGAUGUCACCUUGAAGAACAGUUGGUUCAGCAUCAGAGUGAAGUAAAAAGCAUAGCGAAUGAUGCAUGUUGUGCAGCUGCAAAACAAUUAGCUACUGAUGUAGAAAUUGUGGAUAAUUUUGUCGUUGAACUUGUAGAGGAUUUUGAUGUUGUGGAUGAUGCAAGUAAAAGCACAUUCCAAUUUAGCCCUCUAUCGAAUGUAGUUGCACAGACAUUAUGCAGUGAAUUCAAUUUGGAAUUUGAAAGACAGAUUGAAAAAGUGCACAAAAAAUAUGGGUCUUUAGGUAGAGUGUGUAAGACCAAUAAAAUCGUAGAGGAUGGUAAUAGCUUUUUUAGAGCAGUAUCUAUAUAUCUUGUAGUAUGUGGCUCAGAAAAGUAA
rnacentral:lncRNA from 1 species